UUAAGCGACUAAGCGUACACGGUGGAUGCCCUGGCAGUCAGAGGCGAUGAAGGACGUGCUAAUCUGCGAUAAGCGCCGGUAAGGUGAUAUGAACCGUUAUAACCGGCGAUUUCCGAAUGGGGAAACCCAGUGUGAUUCGUCACACUAUCAUUAACUGAAUCCAUAGGUUAAUGAGGCGAACCGGGGGAACUGAAACAUCUAAGUACCCCGAGGAAAAGAAAUCAACCGAGAUUCCCCCAGUAGCGGCGAGCGAACGGGGAGGAGCCCAGAGCCUGAAUCAGCAUGUGUGUUAGUGGAAGCGUCUGGAAAGGCGCGCGAUACAGGGUGACAGCCCCGUACACAAAAGCGCAUGUGUUGUGAGCUCGAUGAGUAGGGCGGGACACGUGGUAUCCUGUCUGAAUAUGGGGGGACCAUCCUCCAAGGCUAAAUACUCCUGACUGACCGAUAGUGAACCAGUACCGUGAGGGAAAGGCGAAAAGAACCCCGGCGAGGGGAGUGAAAAAGAACCUGAAACCGUGUACGUACAAGCAGUGGGAGCUGAGGGAAAGGCGAAAAGAACCCCGGCGAGGGGAGUGAAAAAGAACCUGAAACCGUGUACGUACAAGCAGUGGGAGCCCCACCACUAAGCCAGUGGUGAACUCCACAUACGCAUCCUUUGCUGAGGAUACGGUUAACGGAGCGCAAGCGACGUUCAACCGCAAAAGAAGCAGAGGGGGCUUAGUGGUGGGGUGACUGCGUACCUUUUGUAUAAUGGGUCAGCGACUUAUAUUCUGUAGCAAGGUUAACCGUAUAGGGGAGCCGGAGGGAAACCGAGUCUUAAUUGGGCGUUAAGUUGCAGGGUAUAGACCCGAAACCCGGUGAUCUAGCCAUGGGCAGGUUNAGGGAAACCGAGUCUUAACCGGGCGUUAAGUUGCAGGGUAUAGACCCGAAACCCGGUGAUCUAGCCAUGGGCAGGUUGAAGGUUGGGUAACACUAACUGGAGGACCGAACCGACUAAUGUUGAAAAAUUAGCGGAUGACCUGUGGCUGGGGGUGAAAGGCCAAUCAAACCGGGAGAUAGCUGGUUCUCCCCGAAAGCUAUUUAGGUAGCGCCUCGUGAAUUCAUCUCCGGGGGUAGAGCACUGUUUCGGCUAGGGGGCCAUCCCGGCUUACCAACCCGAUGCAAACUGCGAAUACCGGAGAAUGUUAUCACGGGAGACACACGGCGGGUGCUAACGUCCGUCGUGAAGAGGGAAACAACCCAGACCGCCAGCUAAGGUCCCAAAGUCAUGGUUAAGUGGGAAACGAUGUGGGAAGGCCCAGACAGCCAGGAUGUUGGCUUAGAAGCAGCCAUCAUUUAAAGAAAGCGUAAUAGCUCACUGGUCGAGUCGGCCUGCGCGGAAGAUGUAACGGGGCUAAACCAUGCACCGAAGCUGCGGCAGCGAGUAAUAGCUCACUGGUCGAGUCGGCCUGCGCGGAAGAUGUAACGGGGCUAAACCAUGCACCGAAGCUGCGGCAGCGAACGUAUCACUUAAAGCGAUUCAGCGGGUUACGAUUGACGGAGCGAAGCGACGUCAAAGCGUAUACAAAGUCGAGUCGGUUUAAGGAUACGUUCGUUGGGUAGGGGAGCGUUCUGUAAGCCUGUGAAGGUGUGUCGUGAGGCAUGCUGGAGGUAUCAGAAGUGCGAAUGCUGUUGGGUAGGGGAGCGUUCUGUAAGCCUGUGAAGGUGGCCUGUGAGGGUUGCUGGAGGUAUCAGAAGUGCGAAUGCUGACAUAAGUAACGAUAAAGCGGGUGAAAAGCCCGCUCGCCGGAAGACCAAGGGUUCCUGUCCAACGUUAAUCGGGGCAGGGUGAGUCGACCCCUAAGGCGAGGCCGAAAGGCGUAGUCGAUGGGAAACGGGUUAAUAUUCCCGUACUUGGUGUUACUGCGAAGGGGGGACGGAGAAGGCUAUGUUGGCCGGGCGACGGUUGUCCCGGUUUAAGCGUGUAGGUGUGUGUUCCAGGUAAAUCCGGUUCACUUUAACACUGAGGCGUGAUGACGAGGCACUACGGUGCUGAAGCAACAAAUGCCCUGCUUCCAGGAAAAGCCUCUAAGCAUCAGGUAACAUCAAAUCGUACCCCAAACCGACACAGGUGGUCAGGUAGAGAAUACCAAGGCGCUUGAGAGAACUCGGGUGAAGGAACUAGGCAAAAUGGUGCCGUAACUUCGGGAGAAGGCACGCUGACAUGUAGGUGAAGUGAUUUACUCAUGGAGCUGAAGUCAGUCGAAGAUACCAGCUGGCUGCAACUGUUUAUUAAAAACACAGCACUGUGCAAACACGAAAGUGGACGUAUACGGUGUGACGCCUGCCCGGUGCCGGAAGGUUAAUUGAUGGGGUCAGCGCAAGCGAAGCUCCUGAUCGAAGCCCCGGUAAACGGCGGCCGUAACUAUAACGGUCCUAAGGUAGCGAAAUUCCUUGUCGGGUAAGUUCCGACCUGCACGAAUGGCGUAAUGAUGGCCAGGCUGUCUCCACCCGAGACUCAGUGAAAUUGAACUCGCUGUGAAGAUGCAGUGUACCCGCGGCAAGACGGAAAGACCCCGUGAACCUUUACUAUAGCUUGACACUGAACAUUGAGCCUUGAUGUGUAGGAUAGGUGGGAGGCUUUGAAGCGUGGACGCCAGUCUGCAUGGAGCCGGCCUUGAAAUACCACCCUUUAAUGUUUGAUGUUCUAACGUGGACCCGUGAUCCGGGUUGCGGACAGUGUCUGGUGGGUAGUUUGACUGGGGCGGUCUCCUCCUAAAGAGUAACGGAGGAGCACGAAGGUUGGCUAAUCCUGGUCGGACAUCAGGAGGUUAGUGCAAUGGCAUAAGCCAGCUUGACUGCGAGCGUGACGGCGCGAGCAGGUGCGAAAGCAGGUCAUAGUGAUCCGGUGGUUCUGAAUGGAAGGGCCAUCGCUCAACGGAUAAAAGGUACUCCGGGGAUAACAGGCUGAUACCGCCCAAGAGUUCAUAUCGACGGCGGUGUUUGGCACCUCGAUGUCGGCUCAUCACAUCCUGGGGCUGAAGUAGGUCCCAAGGGUAUGGCUGUUCGCCAUUUAAAGUGGUACGCGAGCUGGGUUUAGAACGUCGUGAGACAGUUCGGUCCCUAUCUGCCGUGGGCGCUGGAGAACUGAGGGGGGCUGCUCCUAGUACGAGAGGACCGGAGUGGACGCAUCACUGGUGUUCGGGUUGUCAUGCCAAUGGCACUGCCCGGUAGCUAAAUGCGGAAGAGAUAAGUGCUGAAAGCAUCUAAGCACGAAACUUGCCCCGAGAUGAGUUCUCCCUGAGACUUUGGGUCUCCUGAAGGAACGUUGAAGACGACGACGUUGAUAGGCCGGGUGUGUAAGCGCAGCGAUGCGUUGAGCUAACCGGUACUAAUGAACCGUGAGGCUUAACCUU
rnacentral:rRNA from 1 species